rnacentral:rRNA from 1 species
GACGAACGCUGGCGGCGUGCCUAAUACAUGCAAGUCGAGCGGACUUUCAAGAAGCUUGCUUUUUGAAAGUUGGCGGCGGACGGGUGAGUAACACGUGGGCAACCUGCCUGUAAGACGGGGAUAACUCCGGGAAACCGGGGCUAAUACCGGAUAAUAUCUUUCUUCGCAUGAGGGCGGGUUGAAAGGCGGCGCAAGCUGCCGCUUGCAGAUGGGCCCGCGGCGCAUUAGCUAGUUGGUGAGGUAACGGCUCACCAAGGCGACGAUGCGUAGCCGACCUGGGAGGGUGAGCGGCCACACUGGGACUGAGACACGGCCCAGACUCCUACGGGAGGCAGCAGUAGGGAAUCUUCCGCAAUGGACGAAAGUCUGACGGAGCAACGCCGCGUGAGCGAAGAAGGUCUUCGGAUCGUAAAGCUCUGUUGUCAGGGAAGAACAAGUACCGUUCGAAUAGGGCGGUACCUUGACGGUACCUGACCAGAAAGCCACGGCUAACUACGUGCCAGCCGCCGCAGUAA